rnacentral:tRNA from 1 species
UGAGUUGUGGCUCAGUGGUAGAGCACUCACUUAGCACAUGAGAGGCCCUGGGUUUGAUCCUCAGUGCCAUAU